rnacentral:rRNA from 1 species
AUUUAAAGUCUUGCUUUUAAUUGUAAAGAUUUAUAUUAGGUAUAAUAUUUAUAAAAAUAAUUUAUGUAAAAAUAAUAUUUAAGUAAAGUUUAUUGAAAAUUUAUUAAUUAAGCUAUAGUGUAAAGUACCGUGAGGGAAAGAUGAAAUAAAAUGAAAAUUUAAAAUUAUUAAAAGCAAUUAUAAAAUAUUGUACCUUGUGUAUCAGGGAAUAUUAAGUUAUUUUCCUUUAAUUAGGUUGAUCCCGAAAAAAGAAGAGUUAAUAUAAUAAAAAGUUAUCGUGUUAUAGAUAUUUUUAAUAUUAUAUUAGUAGUGAAACGUUAAUCGAUUCUUUAUAUCUGGUUGUAAGUGAAUUAAAUUUAAUUUAAUAGUAUAGUUUUUAAUUAUUAUACUUUAAAGAAAAGGAGGAAAAGCUUCUUUUUCUAGAAAUAAUUUCACUGAGUUUAUAUUAAAAUUUAUUUUAAUAAUAAUUUUAAAAUUAGGCUUAGAAGCAGCCAUAUUAGUAAAGCGUUUUAGCUAAUAAUUUUUAAUAAUUAAUAUUUAUAUAUUAUAAGACCAGUGUUAGUAAUUUACAAGUUAAUAAAUUUAUUUUAUUAAUUGUUAAAAUGAUAUUAUUAGUAGAUAGUUUAUUGUAUUAUAAAAUAAUUUAGAAUAUUUGUGGUUUUAUAAAUUGUGUUUAAAUAUAUAGUUAAGGAAUUCGGCAAAUAGUAUGCUUUUGCCUGUUUAUCAAAAACAUGUCUGUGCGAAGGUAUGUAGAGUCUGGCCUGCCCACUGACUUAAUAUUGUUUGAAGGGCCGCGGUAUUUUGACCGUGCGAAGGUAGCAUAAUCAUUAGUCUUUUAAUUGAAGGCUUGUAUGAAUGGUCGGACAAAAAGUAAGCUGUCUUCAACUAUAAGAAUUGAAUUUGACUUUUAAGUUAAAAGGCUUAAAUAAUACAAAGUGACGAUAAGACCCUAUAAAGCUUUAAAGUUUAUUUUUUUAUUAUAAAUUAUAAAAUUGUAUAACUUAAUUUAAGAUGAAACUUUUUCGUUGGGGCGACGGAAAUAUAAAUAAAUAACUGUUUUUAUUUGAAUAAUACAAAUAUAUUUGGUUUUAGGAAUGAUCCUUUAUUAAAGAUUAAAAGAUUAAGUUACUUUAGGGAUAACAGCGUAAUCUUCUUUGAGAGUCCAUAUCGACAAGAAGGGUUGCGACCUCGAUGUUGAAUUAAGGUUCCUUUAUGGUGUAGCAGUUAUAAUUGGAGGUCUGUUCGACCUUUAAAUCCUUACAUGAUUUGAGUUCAGACCGGCGUAAGCCAGGUCGGUUUCUAUCUUUUGUUUAAAAUAAAAUUACUUUAGUACGAAAGGAUUGAGUAGUUUAAAUAUUUUUUUUAUUUUGGUUAAUGUUAAUUUAAUUGCUUUGGCAGAAUUAUGCAUUAGACUUAGGAUC